AUUGAACGCUGGCGGCAUGCCUUACACAUGCAAGUCGAACGGUAACAGGUCUUCGGAUGCUGACGAGUGGCGAACGGGUGAGUAAUACAUCGGAACGUGCCUAGUAGUGGGGGAUAACUACUCGAAAGAGUGGCUAAUACCGCAUGAGAUCUACGGAUGAAAGCAGGGGAUCGCAAGACCUUGUGCUACUAGAGCGGCCGAUGGCAGAUUGGGUAGUUGGUGGGAUAAAAGCUUACCAAGCCGAAGAUCUGGAGCUGGUCUGAGAGGACGAUCAGCCAAACUGGGACUGAGACACGGCCCAGAAGCCUACGGGAGGCAGCAGUGGGGAAUUUUGGCCAAUGGGCGAAAGCCUGAUCCAGCAAUGCCGCGUGCAGGAUGAAGGCCUUCGGGUUGUAAACUGCUUUUGUACGGAACGAAAAGCCCCGGGUUAAUACCCUGGGGUCAUGACGGUACCGUAAGAAUAAGCACCGGCUAACUACGUGCCAGCCGCCGCAGUAA
rnacentral:rRNA from 1 species